AGAAGAUAGUACCAUGCAGGCAGCUGAGACUCCUUUUAUCACACAUGGAAGUUCAGCUCUGUGCACACAUCUUGUUUUUGGUGGUGCUGAUCACAUUGACUUCAGAAUGGGAGAUGAAAUUUGAGGAUUGUUAACAAAGAAGAACAGAAGGGCUGAGCUUUAUGAAAAAAAAAGCCAUUCAGAACAAGGAUUAUUGAUGUUAGUGGUCAGGCUCUCCCUAAUGAUUAAUGUCACAGGUGCAAAUAUCACUUGGAGAGCUCCUACUUGAGAAUGAGAAUCCAAGGAAUGUUCAGUCCCCAACUGUAACCACUUAAGAGAGCACAGAA